GAGAGUAGAUCGGAUAACUAUAGGAACUUGCUGUUAAAAAAACGAAGAGAUACGCUGUUAUUUUAUGUAAAUGAUCGCUGUAUUAGUUAGGGCACUACUUAUAACAUUGUUCCAGUUUUAUGGCAUAUGGGAUUCUAAUGGAGUGGUAUCCUGCAACCAUUUUCUUUAUAUAUAAUAAGCCAGUAGUGGUGACUUUGUCCAUAACUGAUACUUAUACUUACUUUUUAUCCUGGAGAUAGGUGGAAGCAUGGUAUUCUUCACUUAUAGGACCUAAAAGUUAGAACUGAUUUCCUUUUUUAAAUUUUGCAUCAUGAUUGACUGGUCUGUUGGGGCGUAAAUACUUUAACCCGUCUUCUUUCCAUGGUAGUACAGGUGAUCCACAACUUUUCGGUGCGUCUCAUGUUUGACAAUCUACCAUUGCAUAGUCAGUACUUAUUUAAGCUUCUACGUGUGCUUUUUAUUCUGGGCCAUCCGUAUUCUUGAGAAUUCAACUGAGCAACUAUUGAAAUAACAAUUGAAAUACUAUUGAUUUUAAACAUAAACUUUUUUCGAUUGAUUCAAGAAUUUUAAACUGUAUGGAUUAUUUUUUAUUCUAGCACUAUUUAAAAAAAACACAUUUUUGCAUAUCAAAACAACGAAAAACCUUCUGGGAAUGGCUAAAAACCUUUGCUAAAUGCUACCAAAAUCGGACAUACGCUGCUCCAAUAUUGUUCUUACGCGCAAGGAAUCUAACAUCUGAUAAGUACAAAAAGCAUUUUACAUAUAACUGUUUUCAGUGUGCCCAAGAUAUGAGCUAUGUGGAGUGAUCUUUCUAGACCUUUAAUGAUUCUACAGAGAGUUUUACAAAACCGCACUUUUCGAACUAAGUCGAAAGCAGUGAACACAUUUUAACACGAACGGAUAUGGAUCAUCACAUCCUGAAACUGAAGUAUUUUCUGUGGCGAACACUAGCACAUUUGGAGGUAGAGAGUAAACUUUCGCUACCAGCAGCAUGCUUUGAUGGUGCGAGUGUGUGCGCGUAUAGAAGCCGCAAGGUACAGAUUUGCACAAACAACGUUUGUUUUUACAUAAUCAUCCAGCGUGAAGAAAAAAAUGAGAAUCUUAUGAAUUAGCGUAGCGCGGAGAACGAAACAAGGCCUACAUUCGUUUAGUGAGGCGAUCAAAUAAUUGAUUGUAGAAUUUUGACGCACGUUUUCUCAACUCUCACGUGAUUCCCGACGAUAAGAAUGUUGGUGAUCUACAUACGAUAGAUGGAAGUUUUUUGUUUUCCAAACAUUGCAACUGUAAAAGAUCCCGGACAAGAUCCGAUAACAGAAACCAAUAAUGUUUCAACAAUGAUUCUACCUAGCCAAAAGGAAAUUUAUAAAAGCAGCGUGUCCAAUCACUGAUCUCAACGAGAGAAAAAAGAUAGGGCGACAGAAAUUCGACAAUACCGUUUAAUAGCACAUAUUCAAACAGCGUCUUACUCCGGUCCGGAAGCGUAUCGUACUGAGGUGGGAAUAACUCGGUUUCGUUGGUCGUCCCCCAGACAGCGUCGAUUGAUCAUAAGAAGGGAAGCUAGUUCGUUUUGUGUUUCAGCUGCCAACAGUGCCAAUCAAUGCUUCUACUAUGUGUGUGUGUAUACCUGAGCGAAUCUUCUGCCACUUAAUGUGGAUUGGAUAUCAACACUGUGUUAUCUUGUAUAACUCUACCAAAGAACGGAACCACCUUACCAUUAGCUAAAUGGAAUCUGCAUACCGUGUACCGAAAAGCGGGUACAAAUGGUUGAAGUGAAGAACAUUCAAUUUGCCGAGUCUCGUUCCGUCAACAAACCAAUAGGUAAUUUAUUCGUUAGUUUACUAUUUGAUAUACUUACUAUCAUCACUAUACCGUUCCUUUUAUCUAUAUAAUACAAAUGUUCGACAACGAAUUUGCCUGAUCAAUUGGCGAUUGUGCUGAAAAGAUUAUUCUUACAUGCUGGUUACACUAUCAUGAUUAUAAUUGUUUCGACAAUAUAUUUGAAGAACGAAUCAAAUGAUCUAUCGAAACUGUAUGGUGUAAUGCAUGCACCACCAAUGUCUGCUGAUUUUCUGUCGGUAAUGAAAAUUGUGACCCGUUAUUAGGAGUGAUUACUCACCAGAUUUGCAAUGAAUUUUUAAAGUUUGAGAGACAAUUCAUUUUUGUAAGAAAUCGUUUUAUUUUUUCGUUUUUGUAUGUUUUUGUUAAGAGCAGUAACUUUUUGCAACAUAUCUCAUUGGCAGUUUAAUCAAAUUUCAUCGAUAAUAUAUCACGUCUUCGAAUGCAAUUGUGUACUUGUUAUGUUUUUUAAGACUUCAUUUUUAUUGUAUUUACCUGUAUCAUUUCAUUAUGUUCUACUUUGAAAACCUAUACAAAAUUUGACGUCCCUCUUUUGUUUGUUUUACAAUUGCCUCAUAUUCAACGGUAUUUCGUAAAAAUAUCUAAAGCAAUUCUCCCCAGAGCAAUUUUUUCCGAUCUGAACUCGAUUUCGAUUGAUCUUAUUGUGAAAUCAUUGACGAAUUUAUAAAUCAGCCUCUCUGUCCCAGCAAAAAUUCACAUGAUAAAUUUUACGCAAAAAAACGAUUUCAAUUCUAUAGGCGCAUUAUAGCAUCUUUGUUUUUAUCUCGUACAUGAUACCUUAGCUCCUUAUAUCUGUCUGUGAAACGAAUGUGUCUCAAUUUUGGAAGUUGGUGCACCAACUGUUCCAUUCUAUGUAUUUCUCAUCUCAAAACCCACCAUAUUUUGUUUGACCCCGCUAAGGUUAUCAACCAAGUUCUGUGACCCAAAGAAACUGCUAUAAUGUCGCUCCGUUAUCUUGUGCGCAAAAAAAAUAACAAAUCUUCUCAAGGCUAGGCAAAUCAUGUGAAUUCUGUUUUCGUUGUAGUUCCAUGCAUUACUACUUGCACAACCACCAUCACUUAGAGAUACAAUUACAGCUGAAUGUGUAUCCGUAGAUUAGGCUACUAAAAUAUAGGCGAAUAAAAAUAAAGAAUCUGAAAAUUAAGAGAUCGCAAACUGAACGAAUCGUUUAGUGAGAUAACAGGAACACUUUGUAAUCGGCAUUAUCGAUUCGUUGCAGGAGGCUGCUCUGGACGGACUGCUACGGAAUCUGUUCCCCAGGAAUCCCAGAAAUCCCAGAAAGGUUUUCUGAAAGCGUGGUAAACGGGCGAAAGUCCCUCAAAGUACCAAUAAACCCUCUGAAGCUGCUGCUGUAACUACCUCAACGUAACAAAACAACAAAUCUAAAACUUAUUUAUUAGCUGUUAGUUGGUAGACGGGAGAGAGAGGCACACUGCACUGGCGGCAAUACAGCAGGGGGAAGACAGUUUCUGUGACGGUGGAGUGGCAGGAGUCGUGAAAGAUGUCACGCCCUCUGACGUGCUGCUGGCUGGCAGUGCCAAAUUUCGAAGGAUUUCCAUUAUAUCGCUGCGUUAAGGUUUCGGAAUAACAUGUUUAAUAUUG